rnacentral:rRNA from 1 species
GAUGAACGCUGGCGGCGUGCUUAACACAUGCAAGUCGAACGGAAAGGCCCAAGCUUGCUUGGGUACUCGAGUGGCGAACGGGUGAGUAACACGUGGGUGAUCUGCCCUGCACUUCGGGAUAAGCCUGGGAAACUGGGUCUAAUACCGGAUAGGACCACUUCUUGGAUGUUGUGGUGGAAAGUUUUUUCGGUGUGGGAUGAGCUCGCGGCCUAUCAGCUUGUUGGUGGGGUAAUGGCCUACCAAGGCGUCGACGGGUAGCCGGCCUGGGAGGGUGUACGGCCACAGUGGGACUGAGAUACGGCCCAGACUCCUACGGGAGGCAGCAGGGGGGAAUAUUGCACAAUGGGCGCAAGCCUGAUGCAGCGACGCCGCGUGGGGGAGGACGGCCUUCGGGUUGGAAACUCCUUUCGCUAGGGACGAAGCGUUUUGUGACGGUACCUGGAGAAGAAGCACCGGCUAACUACGUG